UGGUAUUUCCUUCACCUUCGGCAAG
rnacentral:piRNA from 1 species